CGCGUAGGAAUCUACCUGGUAGUGGGGGACAACAUGUGGAAACGCAUGCUAAUACCGCAUACGACCUAAGGGUGAAAGUGGGGGACCUUCGGGCCUCACGCUAUCGGAUGAGCCUGCGUAAGAUUAGCUAGUUGGUGAGGUAAGAGCUCACCAAGGCGACGAUCUUUAGCUGGUCUGAGAGGAUGAUCAGCCACACUGGGACUGAGACACGGCCCAGACUCCUACGGGAGGCAGCAGUGGGGAAUAUUGCGCAAUGGAGGAAACUCUGACGCAGCCAUGCCGCGUGUGUGAAGAAGGCCU
rnacentral:rRNA from 1 species